rnacentral:lncRNA from 1 species
GGUUGGGCUAAAAAAAUCCUUAGGUUAGAAUAGAUUGAUACCCAGGGGAUAAACUGUUUGUGAGACAAGGUCGAAAUCAAACCUCUAGCCACAAAAACGAUGACCUAGGGCAAAGUAGGAUUUCAUUCAUAGAUCGGAGGUUAGGAUUUGAGAGCUAGCUUGAAGUUCUUUCCAGAGAGGUAAGAAUUAUUUUGAGAGGGUUUUGGAGGAGUUAGCAAUGGUUGUUCAAAGUCAGGGUUUGUAUCAAUGAUUUGGGUUUUAUAUAAUAUAAUUAGAGCUAGAAAUUUUGGCUAGUUCGUACAAUUGGCAAAACAUCUACGGUUGAAAAUUUAAUAUUGUUUGGAUUAUUGGGUGUGCUAAGGGUAUACAAAAUUUUGUGAUAAUCUAAUGGCCCGAUUUAGAGAUAUCUAGUUUUUAACACAAGAGGGUUUCAGAAAAUGGCAGUUUGAGGUUGGGUAGGAUUUCUAUGAUAUCUGAAGAUCUAUUGGUCGGAUGAAGGUGAAAAUUAGCAUGGUCUUGGAGAACUUAAAGAUAAAGCUACACACCAAUUUUGAGACAAAGUUAACGGUUGGAAAAGGAAAUAUCAUUGCUAGGAUUUCUACUUCACUUUUCAAGUUG